rnacentral:rRNA from 1 species
AGAGUUUGAUCCUGGCUCAGGAUGAACGCUGGCGGCGUGCUUAAUACAUGCAAGUCGAACGGAGGUAUGUAGCAAUACGUAUCUUAGUGGCGAACGGGUGAGUAACGCGUUGGUGACCUACCCCAGAGAGGGGGAUAACAGCUCGAAAGGGCUGCUAAUACCCCAUGCCGUCAUGGCGCCUAGAAAGCCAUGACGAAAGGUGCAAACCGCUCUGGGAGGGGCCUGCGUCCCAUCAGCUAGUCGGUAGGGUAAUGGCCUACCAAGGCGACGACGGGUAGGGGACCUGAGAGGGUGACCCCCCACACUGGCACUGAAACACGGGCCAGACACCUACGGGUGGCAGCAGUAGGGAAUAUUGCACAAUGGGCGAAAGCCUGAUGCAGCAACGCCGCGUGCGCGAUGAAGGCCUUCGGGUCGUAAAGCGCUUCUCGGGGAGAUGAGGAAGGACAGUAUCCCCGGAAUAAGGAUCGGCUAACUACGUGCCAGCAGCCGCGGUAAAACGUAGGAUCCGAGCGUUAUCCGAAUUCACUGGGCGUAAAGCGCGUGCAGGCGGUCCGGUAAGUUGGAUGUGAAAGCUCCCGGCUCAACUGGGAGAGGCCGUUCAAAACUACCAGACUAGAGGACGGUAGAGGGAGGUGGAAUUCCCGGUGUAGUAGUGAAAUGCGUAGAUAUGCGGAGGAACACCAGUGGCGAAAGCGGCCUCCUGGCCCAUUUCUGACGCUCAGACACGAAAGCUAAGGUAGCAAACGGGAUUAGAGACCCCGGUAGUCUUAGCUGUAAACGAUGUGAACUUAGUGUCGGUGGGGUUAAAUCCAUCGGUACUGAAGCAAACGCGAUAAGUUCACCGCCUGGGGACUACGGCCGCAAGGUUAAAACUCAAAGGAAUUGACGG